AGGAUUCCUAAUGUAUUUUAGUUUGUCUAGAAUUCCUCAAUGGUAGAUUUAUUUCCUAUUAGGAUUAGGAGAUUAAAAUAUCUAUGAAUAUACUUUAAUUCUAUGUAUUUCAGUUUAGUUUUUGAUGAAUAAUAUUACUUUCAGCAGAAUUUUCUCUCAAUACUUGUGCAUUGUGUGUGGGAGUGUUCUACUUGAGCUUCACGAUGCUCCAGAACAUAAAAGGACUUGCACUUUGUAACAUAUACCCCAUAACUUGGCUGCUAAUAUACAUUUUGUAUGCAUUAAAAGAU
rnacentral:misc_RNA from 1 species